UGGAAGAUGGUAAAUUCAUUUAUGUCCA
rnacentral:piRNA from 1 species